rnacentral:rRNA from 1 species
CGUUGCUGCCCCACCUCCCCAAACGCGAAAAAUGGGGGAAAUUCAAGACUUAAAACUUGCACCAAAGCUCCGAUUAACCUUUUAUAGAAUCUAUUAGAUUAAACCAAUCGGGAAUUGCUGUCAAAUGGGGGACUCUGAAUAGCUUUGCUGAUCGCAUGGUCCUUUGUACCGGCGACGUGUCUAUCAAGUGUCUCCCCUAAAAGGGGGAACGAUGGUAGUUUAUAUGACUACCAUGGUUGAUAACGGGUAACGGAGAAUAAGGGUUCGACUCCGGAGAGGGAGCCUGAGAAACGGCUACCACUUCCAAGGAAGGCAGCAGGCGCGCAAAUUACCCACUCUCGGCAUGAGGUUUUUUUUGACGAAAAAUAACGAGACCGUUCUCUAUGAGGCCUGUUAUCUGAAUGGGUACAACUCUAAACCCGUUAACGAGGAUCUUUCGAUAGUUUAUAUCUGGUGCCAGCAUCCGCGGCCCCCCCCAGCUUUUUUGGUGAAAAACAUACAUCUCAGGGGCCCCAAAGCUCGUAAUUGGAUCUGCGCCACAAAAACUCGGCCCAUCCACGGAAAGUGAACUCGG